rnacentral:rRNA from 1 species
UACGAAGGGGGCUAGCGUUACUCGGAUUCAUUGGGCGUAAAGCGUGCGCAGGCUGUUUGAUAAGUUGGGGGUGAAAUCCUCGGGCUCAACCCGAGAAUGGCCUUCAAUACUGUCAAACUUGAGUGUUGGAGAGGAUAGCGGAAUUCUUAGUGUAGAGGUGAAAUUCGUAGAUACUAGGAGGAACGCCGGAGGCGAAAGCGGCUAUCUGGCCAAUAACUGACGCUGAUGCACGAAAGCGUGGGGAGCAAACAGGAUUAGAUACCCUGGUAGUCCACGCAGUAAACGAUGAGCGCUAGAUGUCAGGGCUUUGCCUUGGUGUCGCAGCUAACGCAUUAAGCGCUCCGCCUGGGGAGUACGAUCGCAAGAUUA